rnacentral:rRNA from 1 species
UACAGGGUAGCAAUAUUCUGUAGUCGGAGCGGCGCAAGGGUGCGUAACACGUGGGUAAUCUGCCAAGAAGUUUGGGAUAACUUGCUGAAAGGCGAGCUAAUACCGGAUGUGACAACUGGGAGGCCUCUUCUGGUUGUUAAAGCUGGGGACCGUAAGGCCUGGCGCUUCCUGAUGAACCCGCGGCCUAUCAGCUAGUUGGUGAGGUAACGGCCCACCAAGGCUAAGACGGGUAGCUGGUCUGAGAGGACGACCAGCCACACUGGAACUGAGACACGGUCCAGACACCUACGGGUGGCAGCAGUCGAGAAUUUUUCACAAUGGGCGCAAGCCUGAUGGAGCGACGCCGCGUGGGGGAUGAAUGGCUUCGGCCCGUAAACCCCUGUCAUUCGCGAUCAACCGUUGUUAUUUAAAAGAUGACAGCCUGAUAGUAGCGGAAGAGGAAGGGACGGCUAACUCUGUGCCAGCAGCCGCGGUAAUACAGAGGUCCCAAGCGUUGUACGGAUUCACUGGGCGUAAAGGGUGCGUAGGUGGUAGGGUAAGUCGGAUGUGAAAUCUCGGAGCUCAACUCCGAAAUGGCAUUGGAAACUACCCUGCUUGAGGGUCGGAGGGGGGACUGGAAUUCACGGUGUAGCA